rnacentral:rRNA from 1 species
AGAGUUUGAUCCUGGCUCAGGAUGAACGCUGGCGGCGUGCUUAACACAUGCAAGUCGAACGAAGCACCUUAUUCAGAUUUCUUCGGAAUGAAGUAUUUGGUGACUUAGUGGCGGACGGGUGAGUAACGCGUGGGUAACCUGCCUUACACAGGGGGAUAACAGUUAGAAAUGACUGCUAAUACCGCAUGAAAUGGCAGUCUCGCAUGAGACAACCAUCAAAGAUUUAUCGGUGUAAGAUGGACCCGCGUCUGAUUAGCUUGUUGGUGGGGUAACGGCCUACCAAGGCGACGAUCAGUAGCCGACCUGAGAGGGUGACCGGCCACAUUGGGACUGAGACACGGCCCAAACUCCUACGGGAGGCAGCAGUGGGGAAUAUUGGACAAUGGGCGAAAGCCUGAUCCAGCGACGCCGCGUGAGCGAAGAAGUAUUUCGGUAUGUAAAGCUCUAUCAGCAGGGAAGAAAAUGACGGUACCUGACUAAGAAGCCCCGGCUAACUACGUGCCAGCAGCCGCGGUAAUACGUAGGGGGCAAGCGUUAUCCGGAUUUACUGGGUGUAAAGGGAGCGUAGACGGCAGUGCAAGUCAGAAGUGAAAGCCCGGGGCUUAACCCCGGGACUGCUUUUGAAACUGUGCAGCUGGAGUGCAGGAGAGGUAAGCGGAAUUCCUAGUGUAGCGGUGAAAUGCGUAGAUAUUAGGAGGAACACCGGUGGCGAAGGCGGCUUACUGGACUGUAACUGACGUUGAGGCUCGAAAGCGUGGGGAGCAAACAGGAUUAGAUACCCUGGUAGUCC